GUGGAAAGACACCCUCGUCUGCUGCGCGUCGGCCCUCCCGUCCGGCAUCUCUGGUCUCUGCUCCUCGCUCGCGAUGCCUCCUGUCUCGGCGCGUUAGCGCUCUGCCCCUUUGCCUCCUGCUGAUCUGCCCUGGGCUCCACUCAUCUGUCCCCUAUCCUCAAGAAUUUUAAAAGUCCCUUUGUUUUCCUGUCAGCUGUUUUGGUUCUCUUUUUGGCUGUCUUUUUAAUGACUCCCCUGGGAGCUGGUAAGGAAUCCGCCUGCAAUGCAGGAGACCUGGGUUCGAUUCCUGGGUUGGGAAGAUCCCCUGGAGAAGGGGACAGGCUACCGACUCCAGUGUUCUUGGGCUUCCCUUGUGGCUCAGCUGGUAAAGAAUCCGCCUGCAAUGCAGGAGUCCUGGGUUCGAUCCCUGGGUUGGGAAGAUCCCCUGGAGAAGGGAAAGGCUCCCCACUCCAGUGUUCUGGCCUGGAGAGUUCCGUGGACUGGAUCGUCCAGGGGGUCGCAAAGAGCUGGACACGGCUGAGCGGCUUCCACUCCCACUCCCCUCCUUGCUGGGAGUUACCCAAGGUGCUCGGCUUCUUUGGCUUAGAUGAGACCGUUGCCUCAGCUCGAAGGCUGCAUGAGCAGAGCAGCCUAAUGGAGGGUCCCCGCUCCCCUCGUUCGGUGUGCACGUGUUUUUCUCCCUCUCGUUGUGAGCUCGCGAGUCACUGGCUUUCAGUGGCCUCGUCCCACACUCGCCCUUUCAGAUGCGGUUCGUUUCUCCUGGAAACGUCUGUGCUCCCGUUGCGGGUCACGGUCCUUCAUUUCAGAGACUGUCCUGGAGUGGUUCUCGUAGGGACGACAUCCCCAGGCUUCAUUUCUGGUGCUUUCCGUCACAGGUGCUCAUUGAGCAGGGAUUCAGGGCAGCGGUCCCUCCCCGCGGUGCCUCAGAGGGGCCGUCCUGCCGUCUGCCAGCUCCCGCUUCCUCCUGCUCGAGGGCGCGGUCCUGCCCAGAGGCUCUCGUCCCUGAGCACCUGCUUCACGCGGCUUGUGCCCAUUUACACGAGGGGCACAGCCGGGGGCCCCGACGCCAGGGCCUUCAUCCCGCUGGGCUGGAGGACCGCGUGGCUUCUUAGAACAAGACGCUCACGGAAGCUCGUGCGCAGUGAGCCGAGCUCAGGGCCUCCUCAGCGUCUCCCCAAGACCAUCUCGCAAACCAACACUCCUCUCAGCAGGCCUGAGACUCAGCCUUCGCCUCCGCCCGCCUGGCGCUGGGUGGUGCUGCUCACUGUAGCGUUUUUCCGAGCCUUGAGAGCUGAGGAAGCUGCCAGCUCUGAGAGCCUGGAGGUCAGAGAGAAAGCCAGGCAGCCCGAAGUCCUUCCACCUUCGCCCUGGGCCAGACGGUGCUGA
rnacentral:lncRNA from 1 species